GAUCGCGGCGACGUGGGCGGUUCGCUGCCGGCGACGUCACGAAGUAAGUCCAUUGAACCUUUAUCAUUUAGCAGGAAGGAGAAGUCGCUAACAAGGCUUUCCGCUAGGCUGAACCUGCGGAAGGAUCAUUGUUCGAU
rnacentral:rRNA from 1 species